rnacentral:lncRNA from 1 species
GGGGACACGGGGUCAGCAUGGGGACCCAGGACGCUGACUUCCUCUCCUGCACUGAAGGGCAAAGCGGGAAAGCUGAAAAGUUUCAAACCCACUGGUCCUUUCAACAAGACCUCCCUGUCCUCUCUGCGUCCAGCCUGGGAUAGGAGAGGGGCGAGGAGGACGGAGACUGGCCCCCGCCCUCCAUGCGGCAGAGCCCACCCGCGUCCUGGGCCAAGAUUCCGUUGCUGAGAGAGGAGGGGGCCAGACCCAGACACUCAGAGCAACACGGCACAGGGCUGCCGCUGUCCAGCCCCAGAGGGUCUGUCUUCUCCACUCAGCAUGUCCACACCGAGCUACCCACCUGCCUUCAUCCAAACCCAGCUCUUCAUGUCAAAGGACAGUUCCAGCGGAGCCCAGGUGUGGCGGCCAAGUGUCCUUCAUCCAUUCCUCCAUCUGUUCAUUCAUUCGUUCCUUCAUUCAUCCAUCUCUCUGCACUUCCAAUUCUGAAACGUGAGGACAGUGAUCAUGCCUGCCCCACAGGAUGGCGUGUGGACUGCCUCCAGGAGAAAGGAGGUCUUCACAGUUGCGCUUGUCUGCUCUGCCCACGACCGGAGCCAACGGGGGACAAAGAAAUCUGGCAGAUGGGGCUGGGAAUAAAGCAUCAGCUUUAUCACUUCGUAGUAAAAAGCAGAGACAUUACUUUGCCAACAAAGGUCUGUCUAGUCAAAGCUAUGGUUUUUCCAAUAGUCAUGUAUGGAUGUGAGAGUUGGGCUAUAAAGAAGACUGAGCACCGAAGAAUUGAUGCUUUUGAACUGUGGUGUUGGAGAAGACUCUUGAGAGUCCCUUGGACUGCAAGGAGAACCAACCAGUCCAUCCUAAAAGAAAUCAGUCCUGAAUAUUCAUUGGAAGGACUGAUGCUGAAGCUGAAACUCCAAUACUUUGGCCACCUGAUUCGAAGAGCCGACUCAUUGGAAAAGACCCUGAUGCUGGGAAACAUUGAAGGCAGAAGGAGAAGGGGACGACAGAGGAUGAGAUGGUUGGAUGACAUCACCGACUCAAUGGACAUGAGUUUGAGUAAGUCCUGAGAGUUGGUGAUGGACAGGGAGGUCUGGCGUGCUGCAGUUCAUGGGGUCGCAAAGAGUCGGAUAUGGCUGAGCGACUGAACUGAACUGAAUAAAAAUACAUGGUGGGUUUUAUCAAAGCUUUUUUGGUCUCUAUUGACAUGAUCGUGUGACUUUUCAUUUUUAGCUUAUUAACGUGAUAAAUUACAUCAAUUGCUUUUAAA